CCUGGGGAGUAUGGCCGCAAGGCUGAAACUCAAAGGAAUUGACGGGGGCUCACACAAGCGGUGGAGGAUGUGGCUUAAUUCGAGGCUACGCGAAGAACCUUAUCCUAGACUUGACAUGCUUAAGAAUCUUCUGGAAACAGAGGAGUGCCCUUCGGGGAGCUUUUGCACAGGUGCUGCAUGGCUGUCGUCAGCUCGUGUCGUGAGAUGUUGGGUUAAGUCCCUUAACGAGCGAAACCCCUAUCUUUAGUUGCCAGCGGGUAAUGCCGGGGACUCUAAAGAGACUGCCGGUGUCAAACCGGAGGAAGGUGGGGAUGACGUCAAGUCCUCAUGGCCCUUAUGUUUAGGGCUGCACACGUCCUACAAUGGUACGUACAAAGGGAAGCCAAGCCGCGAGGCCGAGCUAAUCCCAAAAAGCGUGCCUCAGUUCGGAUUGUAGGCUGCAAUUCGCCUACAUGAAGCUGGAAUCGCUAGUAAUCGCGGUCAGCAUACCGCGGGAA
rnacentral:rRNA from 1 species